AGGUCGAAGAUCUUAAACUGCGACCCAACAGAUGUCAUCCUGUCAUCGUAUCGCUAACAGUGCACGUCUCUGCUCGUGUGACUGAUCAUCUGAUCUGCCUCCAAUCAUUGCUCUGUAUCUACCGUCCGCUCUUUUUACUUACCGAUCCUGCAACGGCGAAGACGGUUCAUCCAAAGCCUUGUGCCUCUCGAUCUCUUCGCUAGAUGGAAACUCUCCAGGUCUCGGCUUCACAAGCAAGGUCAGAUUGGCGCUGGACCUUCCAGCCACGCAGGAAUAAGACUUCCCGGGCGACCCCGGCGCCACUCUGAUGUUACUCGAUGUACCGAAUAUUAGUGACCUGUUGGAAAGACAUACCUCAUUAUAAUG